UACGUAGGGGGCUAGCGUUGUCCGGAAUCAUUGGGCGUAAAGAGCGUGUAGGCGGCCCGGUAAGUCCGCUGUGAAAGUCGGGGGCUCAACCCUCGAAUGCCGGUGGAUACUGUCGGGCUAGAGUGCGGAAGAGGCGAGUGGAAUUCCAGGUGUAGCGGUGAAAUGCGUAGAUAUCAGGAGGAACACCAAUGGCGAAGGCAGCUCGCUGGGACGUGACUGACGCUGAGCUGCGAAAGCUAGGGGAGCAAACAGG
rnacentral:rRNA from 1 species